rnacentral:rRNA from 1 species
AACGAACGCUGGCGGCAGGCUUAACACAUGCAAAGUCGAACGGUCUCUUCGGAUCUAGUGGGCGCACGGGGUGCGUAACGCGUGGGAAUCUGCCCUUGGGUACGGAAUAACUCAGAGAAAAUUUGUGCUAAUACCGUAUAAUGUCUUCGGACCAAAGAUUUAUCGCCCAAGGAUGAGCCCGCGUAGGAUUAGCUAGUUGGUGAGGUAAAAGCCUCACCAAGGCGAGAUCCUUAGCUGGUCUGAGAGGAUGAUCAGCCACACUGGGACUGAGACACGGCCCCAGACUCCUACGGGAGGCAAGCAGUGGGGAAUAUUGGACAAUGGGCGAAAGCCUGAUCCAGCAAUGCCGCGUGAGUGAUGAAGGCCCUAGGGUUGUAAAGCUCUUUUACCCGGGAUGAUAAUGACAGUACCGGGAGAAUAAGCUCCGGCUAACUUCGUGCCCAGCAGCCGCGGUAAUACGAGGGGAGCUAGCGUUGUUCGGAAUUACUGGGCGUAAAGCGCGCGUAGGCGGUUUUUUAAGUCAGAGGUGAAAGCCCGGGGCUCAACCCCGGAAUAGCCUUUGAAACUGGAAAACUAGAAUCUUGGAGAGGUCAGUGGAAUUCCGAGUGUAGAGGUGAAAUUCGUAGAUAUUCGGAAGAACACCAGUGGCGAAGGCGACUGACUGGACAAGUAUUGACGCUGAGGUGCGAAAGCGUGGGGAGCAAACA